UACGUAGGUGGCAAGCGUUGUCCGGAAUUAUUGGGCGUAAAGCGCGCGCAGGCGGUCCUUUAAGUCUGAUGUGAAAGCCCACGGCUCAACCGUGGAGGGUCAUUGGAAACUGGGGGACUUGAGUACAGAAGAGAAGAGUGGAAUUCCACGUGUAGCGGUGAAAUGCGUAGAGAUGUGGAGGAACACCAGUGGCGAAGCGACUCUUUGGUCUGUAACUGACGCUGAGGCGCGAAAGCGUGGGGAGCAAACAGG
rnacentral:rRNA from 1 species